rnacentral:rRNA from 1 species
GACGAACGCUGGCGGCGUGCUUAACACAUGCAAGUCGAACGGAAAGGCCCUGCUUUUGUGGGGUGCUCGAGUGGCGAACGGGUGAGUAACACGUGAGUAACCUGCCCUUGACUUUGGGAUAACUUCAGGAAACUGGGGCUAAUACCGGAUAGUAGCUCCUGCUGCAUGGUGGGGGUUGGAAAGUUUCGGCGGUUGGGGAUGGACUCGCGGCUUAUCAGCUUGUUGGUGGGGUAGUGGCUUACCAAGGCUUUGCCGGGUAGCCGGCCUGAGAGGGGGGCCGGGCACAUGGGGACUGAGAUACGGACCAGACUCCUACGGGAGGCAGAAGUGGGGAAUAUGACACAAUGGGCGGAAGUCUGAUGCAGCAACGCCGCGUGCGGGAUGACGGCCUGCGGGUUGUAAACCGCUUUCGCCUGUGACGAAGCGUGAGUGACGGUAAUGGGUAAAGAAGCACCGGCUAACUACGUG